GCAAAUCCCGUAAUGAUUGUAGUUUCCUUAAAAAUCUCUGCCGCUGGAACACUCACUCGGAACAGUCAUCAAGACUGUUCUGCGUGAAAAUCACUAAAUUGCACUGUUUUCUGCAUCUUUUGUUCCAGCUGGUCCAUCUCCCAUCCAAUGCAACUCCAGACCUGUAAUGACUCCAAAAGGAAUAGGAAGACUCGAUAAAGACUUGAAAACCAAUUUAAAAGCAUAUAUACAAGAUGUAUAAAACACCAUAUAUCAAUUCCCCCAGACUUAGAUCCUUGUUUGUCCUCAAACAAUGUCAAGUAUCAAGAACAGGGAGAAAGGUUUGAAAGUGUGGGAACUCUCCUAUUCUCAGCAACCAUACUUUAACCACGAAUCUCUGAACCAUACAAGCAGUAAAACUAGGACAACACACCCUUACUGGAACCCCACUGACUGCUGUUCAAAAAUCGGCUCCAUACUCUUCAUCUCAAACCUGAAAAAGCAACAUUAUCGAGACAGAACUCCCUACAUUCAUUUAAGAGUAGCGUGAGCUUCUCAUCACAGGCAUCAUUCAGGGUAGACGGUCUAGGUGUGGAACAGGCUAUUUAAUGGUGGAGUUAAGAGUGUUUAGGGGCUACCAUUUCAUUGAAGAGGAUGCAGGAUAUCACACAAAAUGGCAAGAGAGGAUAGAUCCAUUGAUGUCCACAGCCUCUACUCGUUUUUGCUCUAUCUGGUGCGAUUGUUCUGAUGACGGAACAGGCAACUGAUUGUUCUGCUUUCCACUUUCCUCUACACACUCUUCAAUACUUGGUACCAACUUCUUGCUCGACCUUUCCAGUGGCUCCAUGUUUCUUUUCUUUCUUCCCCUUCUCCAUCACAUUAAUCUCGUUUUUUUUUUUUUUUUUUUUUUUUUUUGAUGAUUGAUAUGGUGAUGUGACGAAGAAGGAGGUAAUACAUGAUCGUUAUGAGUGCCACUGGUGGUUCUGAUUUCGCGACCAUUCUGGUUCUCCACCCCUGCUCUUGCGCAGUUCAUUGGUUAUGGAGCGGUUGCUCCCUUAAUCUGCUUGUUCUCCUUUCUGACAUAAUUUCUGCAGCAGUAACGAGUAGGAGGCUGCGUUGAUCCUUUCCUCUCCGACCUUUUUGCACAUAUCUGCACAUAUGACACUGAAAAACAAAUGCAUGAAGGUGGAAUAAAGGCUAAGGUGCAGGGUGGGAACUAGCUAAAGAUGAGCUAGCCACUCAGGAUCAGCAAGAUGGAUAAAAAGGAUAAGAAGUCCUGAGUGUGUUCUCGUUUCCCUGAUCUAAUGCCCAUAACAAGAAGAAUUUCAGUCAAGAUUAGGUUCAAGUAAGGUGGAGUUAAGUCUACCCAGUGUAACCUGAUCGGCUGAGAACUUCUGGAGAAUCAAGUGAGAUAUGUCAGGGUGUUCCAGGUCCACAUGUGUGUCUUUCGCCACUGCUAAGGUCACUGAAUAAGAUAACUAAAGCACGAGGUGGUCAGUGAUCAACACAGAAUAAGGUCCUAAUUCCCACAAAGUUUUGACUGACUCAAUAAAAUCUGACUCAAAUUGACCCAAAAGAAAAACAAAAGAAAGAAACGAGUUAGUAAACGACGAAAACCCUCCCCCAGACUUA
rnacentral:lncRNA from 1 species